GUUUGUGACAUCACACAUGUUACAUGCUCACAGCAGCUUGCCCGUUUUCUGGCUUGAACUUUUAUCACAUCAAAAAGACCAAUGCCUGGCCUUUUCUAGACAGAUAAACAACUCUGUACCUGGAACAAAAAGACAAACCUACCAGCUCCAUAGUUGCCUAACACUCCUCAGAGAGGAACCAAGUGGGCCCUGCCUGGAUGCUAAUGGCAAGUUUGGCUCUUGGGAGCUGAAACUAAAAGGGACAAUGUAUUGUGCUCACAGGUACUAUACACAGGAGGAGCCUGAAGCUGACUAUGAGCCAAGUCUGUAGAGAGCACCCAAAGUCAAGAUUCCUUUAAGUCUCUCAGUCUUCAAAACCAAAGGUGAAGCGUGGAACUGGAUCCGGAUGACAAAGCAGAAAGGUAACCGCUCCCUGGCGCAGACACACCUGGUGGGAUGAGAUGGGACGGCGCCUUCCUUAUCUACUCACUUGGUAGAGCUAGUUCACCCUCUGCCCCUGGAUGGAAACGGAAAUGUUUGGUCAUUACAGUUACUGUUAGUCAUUAAAUAGUCUCACUUCAGUUAAAAUGGUCAGUUUCGGAUAGUAACCAAAAUUCAAACCAUGAUUAAAAGUUGAUGCCUCUCCUUGCCUCUGGA